rnacentral:rRNA from 1 species
AACGAACGCUGGCGGCGCGCUUAACACAUGCAAGUCGAACGAGAAGCUGUAGCAAUACAGUUGUACAGUGGCGAACGGGUGAGGAAUACAUGGGGUAACCUACCCUCGAGUGGGGAAGUAACCAGCCGAAAGGCUGGCUAAUACCGCGUACGCUUCCCAAUCUGCGGGGUUGGGAAGGAAAGACUCUACCGUGGGUAGAGCGCUCAAGGACGGGC